rnacentral:rRNA from 1 species
GAUGAACGCUGGCGGCGUGCUUAACACAUGCAAGUCGAACGAUGACCUGGUGCUUGCACUGGUGAUUAGUGGCGAACGGGUGAGUAACACGUGAGUAACCUGCCCUUGACUCUGGGAUAAGCCUGGGAAACUGGGUCUAAUACCGGAUAUGACUCCUCAUCGCAUGGUGGGGGGUGGAAAGCUUUAUUGUGGUUUUGGAUGGACUCGCGGCCUAUCAGCUUGUUGGUGAGGUAAUGGCUUACCAAGGCGACGACGGGUAGCCGGCCUGAGAGGGUGACCGGCCACACUGGGACUGAGACACGGCCCAGACUCCUACGGGAGGCAGCAGUGGGGAAUAUUGCACAACGGGCGGAAGCCUGAUGCAGCGACGCCGCGUGAGGGAUGACGGCCUUCGGGUUGUAAACCUCUUUCAGUAGGGAAGAAGCGAAAGUGACGGUACCUGCAGAAGAAGCGCCGGCUA